UUCUUCCACCUGGGGUUUCAGUGUCUAUAAGACAGCUGACAAGAUAUGGCUCAGAAUAUUAUCUAUAGCCCUUGAGAAGGAACUGAGAAGGAACUAAGAAGGAACUAUGCUUAAUGACAAAAGGCAGGCAGAGGAUGUGGGGUACAAGGACCAUAGGGUCCUGUUCAGUUUCAGUAGGAAGAAGAAAACCGAGAGUGGGCAGUCCUGCAAGUCAAGUGAAGAAAGUGUUUCUUGGAGGUGAAGUGAUAAACUGUUUCAAAUGUUGCUGACAGAGCAGGUUGUAACAGAGCCCCAGUUGAGUUUCCUGAGUCAUCAAGCAAAUUCCCAUUAGCUGUUUUCCCAAUGGCUAUCUGUUGGAGGGACUGAUGCUGAAGCUGAAGCUCCAAUACCUUGGCCACCUGAUGCAAAGAACUGACUCAUUGGAAAAGACCCUGAUGCUGGGAAAUAUUGAAGACAGGA